CACAGGACAAUACAGGCGCCUCAGCUGUUCUUCAUAGAGCGACAGGGCUUCAGUCAAGUCGACACAGUUCCCCUGUGUGAAAUAUUUUCCAUCCUGUUUCAGAACCUUCAUUGACAGGUCAAGAAUCAGUCUGAGAAACUCCCAUGUGGAAUCUUCUUCUGGAGAUGUAGAGAUAGGGACAGCUGUCAAAUCAUUAAUCACAUAAUCAAACUCUCUCCCUUCUUUGGCGUACCUCUUCAGUACUGGGAUACAGUCUUCUAUAAGAACCUGAUAGCAAUCUCCUUUAAGAUUGUCUAAGACAUCUCCACAUGUUCUGCGCAUGUAUUUCUUACAUCCAUCAAUUACCAUCUGGUCAAUCUCUACCAUAGUGACCAUCUUUGGUUUCAGUUUGACAAUUUCACAUAAUAUGCCUCCAUCGCCGCCUCCCAGAAUCAGUACAUCUUUGCCAGUGUAGUCUUCUUUACCAUUGCCCAUGAUGGCCCUGGUAUAUGCCAAGUCACUCUCUGCCAAAUUAACAUCCCCGCUGAGGAUGAGAAUAUUCCCAAACUGCUUUGAGUGAAGAAUUUUAAUGUUCUGAUAAGGUGAGUCUUCGUCAUACACCACUUCAUCUAUGUCAUACUCAACCAGGCGCCCGUCAGCAGUAGGCCAGUAUCUGUCAAUGGCCCCUCCUCGAACUAUGGGUGGUAAUCGCUUCACCCGGCCAGUACUGUCUUGACUCAAUUCUUUCAUUUUUUCUUCUAUUUUAUUCAAAAGCUGCCAUUCUUGUUCGUGUAGGUUGCUAAAUACCCAUGGUCCUGCCAGGUGUGCACCGACUCUGCCAUCCCCUGCUCCUGAAAGAUGGACUGAAGGCCUUUCAGAAUGGCCUCACCAUCAGCUUUGGCGCCGAGCGUGAAGUCGAGCGUGCUGUGCCUUGCUGCUGCCAUAGUGUGGCGAGGCCCUGUGCCAUGCCUGGGGAGGCGAUCGAGGGAGACUGAGGGACCGCGCGGCGUGUCAGGCUGCGGGCCGGCGGGGAGUGCCCUCACACACGUUUUUACCCCUUCUGGCUACUGGUGUGCUUCCUA
ensembl:lncRNA